UAAAAGUUUUAUUCUUGCUUGUUAUUCAUUUUAUGAUUAUUUUACAUGUAAGUUUUAAUUUAUUAUUAAUCUAAAUGAUUAAUUAUGUAUUUAGGCAGUAAUAUGUAUUAUUUUUUAAAGUAAUUUAGAAAUAGUAAUUCAUAAAUUUCUGGUUAAAGCCGUGCCAGCCACCGCGGUUAUACGGGAAGAAAAAGUGAAUAUUAUUAGUUUAUUAGUUAAUAUUAUUAAUUUAUAAAAAUGAUAAUUUUUAGGUGAAAUUUUAAUUGUUAAUUAUUUAUAUUAUAUGAAGCUAUGAAAUUUAUUUUAAAAACAAGGAUUAGAUACCCUUUUAUUAUAAAUGUAAAUGUUGAACUAGGGUAUUAAUAGUUAUGUUCUUGAAACCCAAAGAAUUUGGCGGUAUUUUAGUCCUUUCAGAGGAAUCUGUCCCGUAAUCGACAACCCACGAGAUAUAUUACUUAUUUUUGUUUUCAGUUUGUAUACCUCCGUCAUAAGAGAAUCUUAUUAGAGUUUAAUUUUCUUAAUAUAUAAAGUUUAAUAUGUCAGGUCAAGGUGCAAUUUAUAAAUAAGUGGAGAUGGAUUACAAUAAAUUUAUUUAAACGGAGUAAAUUAUUAAUUUUUUUAUGAAGGUGGAUUUGAUAGUAAUUUUAAUUAUUUAUUAUUAUGAUUUAUGGCUCUAAAAUAUGCACACAUCGCCCGUCGCUCUCAUUAUGAAGAUGAGAUAAGUCGUAACAUAGUAGGUGUAUCGGAAGAUGUACCUAGUAAGUA
rnacentral:ncRNA from 1 species